UACGGAAGGGGCAAGCGUUGUUCGGAAUCAUUGGGCGUAAAGGGCGUGUAGGUGGUUCUGUAUGUCUACCGUGAAAGCGUACGGCUCAACCGUAUUUAGUCGGUAGAAACUGCAGGACUCGAGGCUGGGAGGGGCUGGUGGAAUUCCCCGUGUAGCGGUGAAAUGCGUAGAGAUGGGGGAGAACACUCGUGGCGAAGGCGGCCAGCUAGACCAGUUCUGACACUGAGGCGCGACAGCGUGGGGAGCAAACAGG
rnacentral:rRNA from 1 species